rnacentral:misc_RNA from 1 species
UCGGCCUCGGUAUCGCGGCGGCCCUCCAGAAAUCCAUCAUCAGCACAGCCCCGGUGGCAAUCACUUCUCUGAGACCGGCAGGAAACAGAGAAGAGUCUCGGCAGCAUGGUCACAAGAGCAGGAGGUGGAGGGAGGAAGAGUUGUUAUGCGGGACGUCGACAAGAUUCAGCAAGAAAAAGAUUAUCAUACCGGCACUCCCCAUGCCGGAUUUCCUGAGCAAUUGCUGCUUGUGCAGGAAACAGCUCCAUGGAAAAGAUGUAUACAUGUAUCAGGAGAAGGCCUUCUGCAGCAUGGAGUGCCGAUACCAGCAGAUAGUCGGUGAUGAGCUGCAGGAGAAG